rnacentral:rRNA from 1 species
UGUUGAGUUUGGUUUUAGACUGGGCACAAAGUCUAGAUGGCUCGAGUCUUUCGGGGCUUGGGUCUAUUCACUAGGCGUAUUACCAUGAGCAAAUCAGAGUGUUUAAAGCAGGCUUUUAAGCUUGAACGUGUUAGCAUGGAAUAAUGAAAUAUGACCCAGGGUCUAUUUCGUUGGUUUUGAGACCCAAAGUAAUGAUGAAUAGGAGUGGUCGGGGGCAUUUGUAUUUCGGCGCUAGAGGUGAAAUUCUUGGAUUGCCGGAAGACAAACUACUGCGAAAGCAUUUGACCCAGGACAUCUCCAUUGAUCAAGGGCUAAAGUUGAGGGAUCGAAGACGAUUAGAUACCGUCGUAGUCUUAACCACAAACGAUGCCGACUAGAGAUCGGGCUUGACUAUUUAGGCUUGCUCGGGAUCUUAGCGAAAGCAAAGUUUUUGGGUUCUGGGGGGAGUACGGCUCGCAAGGCUGAAACUUAAAGGAAUUGACGGAAGGGCACCACCAGGAGUGGAGCCUGCGGCUUAAUUUGACUCAACACGGGGAAACUCACCAGGUCCAGACAUACGGAGGAUUGACAGAUUGAAAGCUCUUUCUAGAUUGUAUGGGUGGUGGUGCAUGGCCGUUCUUAGUUCGUGGAGUGAUUUGUCUGGUUAAUUCCGAUAACGAACGAGACCUUAUUCUGCUAAAUAGACAGACUCAUUUUUUAAUGGGGUUGAAGGCUUCGGUCUUUACUGUCUUCUUAGAGAGACUAUCGU